GCAUCGAUAGUUUAGGGGUAGAAUUGAAGCUUCCCAUCUCACCAAUGGAAGGACUUGCUUCAGGCACGGGUUCGAUUCCCGUUCGAUGCA